UCUCCCAUCCAAGUACUAACCAGGCCCAACCCUGCUUAGCUUAUGAGAUCAGACGAGAUCAGGUGCAUUCAAGGUGGUAU
rnacentral:sRNA from 1 species